GGAUGUGAGGGCCAUCUGGCUGAGACCUCUGUCACCCCACUGAUUGCCAAGGUUGAUUCAGCUGAUANGUCUGGCUAGGCGAGUGUCCCCUUCCAACCCUCACCACUCCAUGUGCAUCCAUCCUGAAGCUGGAAGCUUCAGAGGAAGGUGAAGAGGAUGACUUUCCCUGAAUAGAGGAGGACUGGUCACAGGUAUAUGAAUAGCUGUUCUCCCCAGCUAGAGCCUCNGAAUAAGCUCUCAAGGGAAGAUCCACUUAUAACCCAGAUUUUAAGUGGAAAGAUACACAUUUAAUCCUGUUCUUUUGAGGUGGGAAGAUCCACCUUU
rnacentral:snRNA from 1 species